rnacentral:rRNA from 1 species
CCAUGCCGCGUGCAGGAAGAAUGCCCUAUGGGUAGUAAACUGCUUUUAUACGGGAAGAAAAAGAGCUACGUGUAGCUUACUGACGGUACCGUAAGAAUAAGGACCGGCUAACUCCGUGCCAGCAGCCGCGGUAAUACGGAGGGUCCGAGCGUUAUCCGGAAUUAUUGGGUUUAAAGGGUCCGUAGGCGGGCGAUUAAGUCAGUGGUGAAAGUCUGCAGCUCAACUGUAGAAUUGCCUUUGAUACUGGUCGUCUUGAGUUAUAGUGAAGUUGCCGGAAUAUGUAGUGUAGCGGUGAAAUGCAUAGAUAUUACAUAGAACACCGAUUGCGAAGGCAGGUGACUAACUAUAUACUGACGCUGAUGGACGAAAGCGUGGGGAGCGAACAGGAUUAGAUACCCUGGUAGUCCACGCCGUAAACGAUGGAUACUAGCUGUCCGGGACCUUGAGUCCUGGGCGGCCAAGCGAAAGUGAUAAGUAUCCCACCUGGGGAGUACGUUCGCAAGAAUGAAACUCAAAGGAAUUGACGGGGGCCCGCACAAGCGGUGGAGCAUGUGGUUUAAUUCGAUGAUACGCGAGGAACCUUACCAGGGCUUAAAUGCAUAUUGACAGGGGUAGAGAUACCUUUUCCUUCGGGCAAUUUGCAAGGUGCUGCAUGGUUGUCGUCAGCUCGUGCCGUGAGGUGUCAGGUUAAGUCCUAUAACGAGCGCAACCCCUACCGUUAGUUGCCAGCAUGUCAUGAUGGGGACUCUAACGGGACUGCCGGUGCAAACCGUGAGGAAGGUGGGGAUGACGUCAAAUCAUCACGGCCCUUACGUCCUGGGCCACACACGUGCUACAAUGGCAGGUACAGAGAGCAGCCACGUCGCAAGGCGGAGCGAAUCUAUAAAACCUGUCACAGUUCGGAUCGGGGUCUGCAACUCGACCCCGUGAAGCUGGAAUCGCUAGUAAUCGGAUAUCAGCCAUGAUCCGGUGAAUACGUUCCCGGGCCUUGUACACACCGCCCGUCAAGCCAUGGAAG